AAAGCUGGCGUCUUCGGCGUCCGCAUUGUAAUCUCAAGAAGUGUUUUCCGCUUCGGACCAUGCCUAAGUCCCUUGGAAAAGGGCAUCAUAGAGGGUGAUAAUCCCGUACAUGGCAUGGAGCGCCCGAGGCUUUGUGAUACGCUUUCUAAGAGUCGAGUUGUUUGGGAAUGCAGCUCAAAAUGGGUGGUAAAUGCCAUCUAAGGCUAAAUAUUGGGGAGAGACCGAUAGCGAACAAGUACAGUGAUGGAAAGAUGAAAAGAACUUUGAAAAGAGAGUUAAACAGUACGUGAAAUUGCCAAAAGGGAAGGGUAGGAGGUCAGAGAUGCGUCUUGGGAUUCAGCCUUGCUUUUGCUUGGUGUUUUUCCCAAGUUGCAGGCCAACGUCGGUUUUGGGCACUGGAGAAGGGUGGAAGGAACGUGGCACCUCUCGGGGUGUGUUAUAGCCUUCUACUGGAUACAGCGACCGAGACCGAGGACAGCAGCGUACUCGCAAGAGCGGGCCUUCGGGCACCUUUACGCUUAGGGCGUUGGCAUAAUGGCCCUCUACCAC
rnacentral:rRNA from 1 species